rnacentral:snRNA from 1 species
GAUUGUGAGGGCAAUCUGGGUACCACAUCUGUCACCCCACUGAUCGCCAGGAUUCAUUCGACUGAUCCGGCUGGUUUAGCGGGUGUCCCCUUCCUUCCUCACCACUCCAUAUGCACCACUCCCAAAGCUGCAUGCUCAGUCAAAGAGGAUGACCUUCUCCGACAGAGACGUACCAUUCAUCAGUCAAGAGUAUACGGUAGCUGCGGUUGCCUGCUAGAACUUCCAAACAAGCUCAAGGUCCAUUUGUAGGACAAGCUUCCAAGAGUGCAGGCACAUCCAAGUGAGACACUGCAUGGGGCACUCUGCUGUUGUU